UUGGAGUUUGAUACAAAGUAACUCAAUUUCCACUUUAUCACAGAGUUAGAUAGACUGUCACACUUCCCUAUUUUUUCCAUAGCCAUUCAAUGUCCUCUCUCUCUCCCCUAAACCCUAAGAAAUUUCUCAGAAAACUAAUCUUCAAUCUCGAUCUCAUCUCUCUUCUUCAUAUCUGCUCUCCCCCUCUCUCUCUCUCACAAACGAUUUCCCAAAAAACAAAGCAACUCUCAUCUCUCUCCGUCAUCUGUUUCUCACUAUUUUACCUCUUAUCAUCGAUCUUUAAUUUCCUCUUUAAUAGUGAUUGUAAUGGAGAAGUGUUGUGAACAAGGGUGUGGAGAUGUUGGGUGAUGGCAGUCGUGGUGGUUGCGACUAGUGGUUGGUGGCUGUUGCUGAAAAGAGCGAAGGCCGUGGCGUUGAUAGAGCGACAAGCAACGACGGGAAAAGAGUGAUUUUUUCCACACUUAUCAAAUUCUCGAAAUCACUCGAACCGACUGCUAAACUGAGUUCUUUGGUUCGGUCGAUUUUGAACUUCACAACGGUCGGCGAUGCAUAACAAAUUUUCUCACCCGAUGCUGUCGGUUCGGCUGACGGGCUAUGGAUAAACCUGAGCCGACCCAACCCGACCCAUGCACACCCCCUUCCACAUCAAAUGAUCAAUAUUCUCAAUACCCACAUCCCACUUGACAAUAAACCAUACAUUGUUAUGUGGCACCAAACUAAACAUGGGUGCUAUUCGAUUAAGUCAGGCUAUUACAUGGCGUUGAAAAGACCAUUUUACGUUAGCCAAAAAUGAUAAGGGGAUUGAUGGUGAUAUUUGAAAGAAAGUUAGGAAACUAAACUUUCCAGCCAAGUGGUCAAUGUUCAUUUGGAAUUUUAUUCGCCGAGUAUUGCAUGCUGAUCUAUCUCUUGCCAAAAGGGGAUUUCAAAAUGAUUUUAACUGUCCUAGAUGUCAAGAAGAGAUUGAAACCCUUAAACAUGUAUUUUUCUGUUGCCCCUUUGCAAAACGAAUUUGGAGAGGAUAAUGUUUGGGGUGAAAAUUUGUUAUAGGAAACCCAAUAGAGGCUGAUUCUUGGUUUCUUGAGUGGAUCAAAACUGCACUUGAUAAUGAAACUAUCGCUGAAUCCAUCAAAAUUCUUUGGGUAAUACGGCUUCAUCACAACAAAGCAUCCUCUGAACAUAUUGUAGAGGACCCAAUUUGACCUGUGGUUUCUGUUAACCAACUGGAUUUUUUUUGGGUAUUCAGUAAAAAUAUUUUUUCAUUUCGCGGACGUCCUUGUCAUCUAUGGCUGUUGAAAAUAAUUCUCUGAAUUCCGUAAUUUUUUCUAACAAUGCACAAUGCUUUCCAAAGACUACUUUUGACAGGUUUAUAAUAGAUGGAGCUUGGAAUUCAAAGAAAGCAAGGGCUGCCUAGCUUGUGUUCAACAACAAUGGACAACAAUCAAGGCCUAUGGAGUUCUCUUUUGUUUUUUUUGCCUCAUCAACAUUGAUGGCUGAAGCUUGUGCAUGCUUAGAAGUUUUGGGAUGGGGCGUGUCCCACAAUGUCAACACAGCUGCUAUCCAUACUGACAUUAGUUAACAGUAUUACAAAUAGUAAAGGAAGUGAAUGGGAUGUAGACGAUGUUAUUUUGGAUAUUUGAAAAUAUAUAUGCAUCUUAUCUCUCAAAAAAACAAAAAGAAGGGAUUUUCA